rnacentral:rRNA from 1 species
GAUGAACGCUGGCGGCGUGCUUAACACAUGCAAGUCGAACGGAAAGGCUCCUGCUUGCAGGGGUACUCGAGUGGCGAACGGGUGAGUAACACGUGGGUGAUCUGCCCUGCACUUCGGGAUAAGCCUGGGAAACUGGGUCUAAUACCGGAUAGGACCACAUUUUGGAUGGUGUGGUGGAAAGUUUUUCGGUGUGGGAUGAGCUCGCGGCCUAUCAGCUUGUUGGUGGGGUAAUGGCCUACCAAGGCGUCGACGGGUAGCCGGCCUGAGAGGGUGUACGGCCACAUUGGGACUGAGAUACGGCCCAGACUCCUACGGGAGGCAGCAGUGGGGAAUAUUGCACAAUGGGCGCAAGCCUGAUGCAGCGACGCCGCGUGGGGGAUGGCGGCCUUCGGGUUGUAAACUCCUUUCGCUAGGGACGAAGCGCAAGUGACGGUACCUGGAGAAGAAGCACCGGCUAACUACGUG